rnacentral:rRNA from 1 species
UACGUAGGUGACAAGCGUUGUCCGGAUUUACUGGGCGUAAAGAGCGCGCAGGCGGUCGAUCAAGUCGAGUGUGAAAGCCCCCGGCUCAACUGGGGAGGGUCAUUCGAUACUGAUCGACUCGAAGGCAGGAGAGGGUAGUGGAAUUCCCGGUGUAGUGGUGAAAUGCUUAGAUAUGACAUAGAACACCAAUUGCGAAGGCAGCUUACUACACAAAUAUUGACGCUGAGGCACGAAAGCGUGGGGAUCAAACAGG